rnacentral:rRNA from 1 species
AUUGAACGCUGGCGGCAGGCUUAACCCAUGCAAGUCGAACGAGGGGCGGACGGGUGAGUAAUGUCUGGGAAACUGCCUGAUGGAGGGGGAUAACUACUGGACACGGUAGCUAAUACCUCAUACAAUCAGGUGUGCCCAGAUGUGAUUAGCUAGUAGGUGGGGGAAUGGCUCACCUAGGCGACGCUCCCUAGCUGGUCUGAGAGGAUGACCAGGCACACUGGAAUGGAGCCACGGUCCAGACGCCUACGGGAGGUAGAAGGGGGGAAUUUUGUACAAGGGGGGCAAGGCCGAUACAGCCAUGCCGCGUGGGUGAAGAAGGCCUUCGGGUUUUAAAGCUCCUUCAGCGAGGAGGCGUUACUCGCAGGAGGAGCACCGGCUUACUCCGUGCCAGCAGCCGCGGGUAUAC